rnacentral:rRNA from 1 species
AAUGAACGCUGGCGGCAUGCCUAACACAUGCAAGUCGAACGAGACCUUCGGGUCUAGUGGCGCACGGGUGCGUAACGCGUGGGAAUUUGCCCUUGGGCUCGGAAUAACUCGCCGAAAGGCGUGCUAAUACCGGAUGAUGACGUAAGUCCAAAGAUUUAUCGCCCAAGGAUGAGCCCGCGUAGGAUUAGCUAGUUGGUGGGGGAAAGGCCCACCAAGGAGACGUUCCUUAGCUGGUCUGAGAGGAUGAUCAGCCACACUGGGACUGAGACACGGCCCAGACUCCUACGGGAGGCAGCAGUGGGGAAUAUUGGACAAUGGGCGAAAGCCUGAUCCAGCAAUGCCGCGUGAGUGAUGAAGGCCUUAGGGUUGUAAAGCUCUUUUACCCGGGAUGAUAAUGACAGUACCGGGAGAAUAAGCCCCGGCUAACUCCGUGCCAGCAGCCGCCGUAA